rnacentral:rRNA from 1 species
GACGAACGCUGGCGGCGUGCUUAACACAUGCAAGUCGAACGGAAAGGCCCUGCUUGUGUGGGGUGUUCGAGUGGCGAACGGGUGAGUAACACGGGAGUAACCUGCGCUGGACUUUGGGACAACUUCAGGAAACUGGGGCUAAUACCUGCUAGGAGCGCCUGCAGCAGGGGGGGGGUUGGAAAGUUUCGGCGGUUGGGGCUCGACGCCCGGCUUAUCAGCUGGUGGGUGGGGUGGUGGCUUACCAAGGCUUUGGAGGGUAGCCGGCAUGAGAGGUUGGCCGGGCACCUUGGGACUGAGGUACGGCCCAGAGUCCUACGGGAGGCAGCGGUGGGGAAUCUUGCACAGUCGGCGGAAGCCUGAUGCAGCAACGCCGCGUGCGGGAUGACGGCCUUCGGGUUGUAAACCGCUUUCGCCUGUGACGAAGCGUGAGUGACGGUACUGGGAAAAGAAGCACCGGCUAACUACGUG